rnacentral:rRNA from 1 species
CCUACGGGUGGCAGCAGUGGGGAAUAUUGGACAAUGGGGGAAACCCUGAUCCAGCGACGCCGCGUGAGUGAAGAAGUAUUUCGGUAUGUAAAGCUCUAUCAGCAGGAAAGAAAAUGACGGUACCUGACUAAGAAGCCCCGGCUAACUACGUGCCAGCAGCCGCGGUAAUACGUUGGGGGCAAGCGUUAUCCGGAUUUACUGGGUGUAAAGGGAGCGUAGACGGCAGCGCAAGUCUGGAGUGAAAUGCCGGGGCCCAACCCCGGAACUGCUCUGGAAACUGUGAAGCUGGAGUGCAGGAGAGGUAAGCGGAAUUCCUGGUGUAGCGGUGAAAUGCGUAGAUAUCAGGAGGAACACCGGCGGCGAAGGCGGCUUACUGGACUGUAACUGACGUUGAGGCUCGAAGGCGUGGGGAGCAAACAGGAUUAGAUACCCUUGUAGUC